rnacentral:rRNA from 1 species
AUUGAACGCUGGCGGCAGGCCUAACACAUGCAAGUCGAACGGUAACAGGAAGAAGCUUGCUUCUUUGCUGACGAGUGGCGGACGGGUGAGUAAUGUCUGGGAAACUGCCUGAUGGAGGGGGAUAACUACUGGAAACGGUAGCUAAUACCGCAUAACGUCGCAAGACCAAAGAGGGGGACCUUCGGGCCUCUUGCCAUCGGAUGUGCCCAGAUGGGAUUAGCUAGUAGGUGGGGUAACGGCUCACCUAGGCGACGAUCCCUAGCUGGUCUGAGAGGAUGACCAGCCACACUGGAACUGAGACACGGUCCAGACUCCUACGGGAGGCAGCAGUGGGGAAUAUUGCACAAUGGGCGCAAGCCUGAUGCAGCCGUGCCGCGUGUAUGAAGAAGGCCUUCGGGUUGUAAAGUACUUUCAGCGGGGAGGAAGGGAGUAAAGUUAAUACCUUUACUCAUUGACGUUACCCGCAGAAGAAGCACCGGCUAACUCCGUG